rnacentral:rRNA from 1 species
AGGACGAACGCUGGCGGCGUGCUUAACACAUGCAAGUCGAGCGGUAAGGCCUUUCGGGGUACACGAGCGGCGAACGGGUGAGUAACACGUGGGUGAUCUGCCCUGCACUCUGGGAUAAGCCUGGGAAACUGGGUCUAAUACCGGAUAUGACCUGCUCUCGCAUGGGGGUGGUGGAAAGAUUUAUCGGUGCAGGAGUGGGCCCGCGGCCUAUCAGCUUGUUGGUGGGUAAUGGCCUACCAAGGCGACGACGGGUAGCCGACCUGAGGAGGGUGACCGGCCACACGUGGGACUGAGACACGGCCCAGACUCCGUACGGGAGGCAGCAGUGGGAAUAUGCACGAAGUGGGCGAAAGCCUAGAUGCAGCGACGCCGCGUGAGG